rnacentral:rRNA from 1 species
AUUGAACGCUGGCUGCAGGCCUAACACAUGCAAGUCGAACGAUUGGCGGACGGGUGAGUAAUGUCUGGGAACCUGCCUGAUGGAGGGGGAUACCUACUGGAAACGGUAGCUAAUACCGCAUACCAUCGGAUGUGCCCUGAUGGGAUUCGCUAGUAGGUGGGGUAAAGGCUCACCAAGGCGACGAUCCGUAGCUGGUUUGCGAGGAGGACCAGCCACACUGGAACUGAGACACGGCCCAGACUCCUACGGGAGGCAGCAGUGGGGAAUUUUGGACAAUGGGCGAAACCCUGAUCCAGCCAUCCCGCGUGUGUGAUGAAGGCCUUCGGGGUGUAAAGUACUUUCGGCAGGAAAGCGGUACCUGCAGAAGAAGCACCGGCUAACUACGUGCCAGCCGCCGCGGUAAUAC